rnacentral:tRNA from 1 species
GGACCUUUGGCUCAGUGGUAGAGCGUGUUCAGGACCUCAGGGCUGUGCUCCCCCCCUCCGCCACCAGGAGUCGCGUCCCCCCCGCCCCCCACCAGGAGUCGCGCCCGUCCAAGUGAACAAGGUCCCCGGUUCAAAUCCGGGAGGGUCCA